rnacentral:lncRNA from 1 species
GGAUAUUAGGAACCAGCUUCCACAUGAGCUGUGUCCUGGGAUUGACCAGGGAGAUGAAGGGUGUCAAGACUAUAAGAAAGGAGAGUCUGUGGUGUCCACACUUGGAGUUUGGAAGCUCAUGUUAUCUCUCCUGUGCCCUAUCAGCAUCAUGGUGGUGGCAGCUCCGACUCUGCCUGCUCCUGCAUGACAUUUGCCAAAUCAUGCUGAAGAAGGAUAGGAAAUACCAGAAGGACACAUGAAUUUUGUAGUGCAGACAUAGAAAACAGGGAAUGAAAAAAGAAAAGAGAAAAGGGGAGAGAUCUGAAGCCAGAGUGGGCGUUGCGCCCUAGAACUGCCGACAGUUGCAGCCUAGAUAUGACGUGCAGCAGAGACGUCCCAGAUCUCCCAAGCAGAGUUCCGGCCCACUUUGAAGUGUUGACAAUAUGGAAAAUUAAAAGCAUCACAAUGAGAAUUAUCACAUUGUUUUUUCCACUUUGAUAGCCUCUACAAAGCA